GGCAUCUCGCUGUCUGCGCUGGGCACGGAGCGGCGCGCGCGCGCCCGUCUUUCCCUCGGCGGCCCCCCGCGGCUGGGACCCGGGCCGGCAGACAGGCCAUCCAUCAUCCGCCCUCCUCCCGCGGAGCGCCGCAGCCGCCGCGGCCAAUCCGGCGGCAGGUGGGGCCGCACCUGCGGGACGGCCCGCCGCUUCCCUCCGCUCUCUUCGCCGCGCCUCGCGUGCUAGCGGUGCCCUUGAGAGCCACUGCGUUCUCCAAGGCCAGAACGGGACAGUUGACGAUGGUCGUACUUCUCCAUGUUCUGAGACCAGUUUAAACAAAAACAAAAACCAGACAACAACCUUGCAAGGGAAAGAAUUCAGAGUAAAUAAACAGUCUUUUUCUGGGAAGUAAAGUAUUUCCCUAAGAUGGAGAAAUUGAGAUGAGAGCUCAUCCACAAGAUUACCCAUCAAUGAGCACCAAUAGCAACCAAAUCCACUAGAAGACUGGGAGCUUUUAAGUCAAGACACUUACAUCAGUAUCAUCAUUCCAAGAAGCGGUAUCCAAGUUGUUUUAUCAAAAGUGUGCAUGGGAGGGAUCUCAUCAGAGAGAGAGACAUCUUCGCCACUGCCAUGAAGUUUCAAGUACAGAACUCUUCCUCGUAAUCAAACUAUUUCUAUGAACAAUUCACUCGUCAUUGUGGGAAAGUCUAUUUUUCAUCUUAACACACAAACAGACAAUAACAAAAUUUGUGAUUUGGAUAAUCUGGAUCUGAUGUUCAUGCUCAAAAUGGAGGCAAUUCGUAAUACUGGUCUGAAGCAUUUAGUCAUUCAUUGAGCAGAUACGUUAGGAGCAACAGGCAUGGGCUGUGUUUUUCUAGGCACUGUGAACACAGCAGUCAACGAAGUCAAAAACCUGUGCUCUUAAGGGACAUGAAUUGCCAAAUGGAAACACUAAGUUUUUCUAUUUAUGACCUAAAGCUAGUCAAAUAUCUCCAGAAGUAAGGUAGCUGAGUGAAGUGGUUCAUAAUCUUUCCAUGGGAGCCAAACCCUCGGUGCUGUGACUCUUUUAGAUAAAUGAUAGUAAAAAUGAAUCAAAAGUUAAUUAGCUUGCACCUCAAUAAUCCAGUCUCCAUCACUGAUGGUCAUCGUGGAAUCUGCGUACAGAGGCAGCUGUAUAUAGAUGACAGAGACAGCUCUAACACGUGACACAUUUAAGCACACAGAGGCGGAAGGACAUAAAGUUCCUGGUUGAUUUCCCUUUGGUGUUUGUGGGGAAAUAUCAGGUCAUAAAAAGUCAGUUUCUAAUAAUCCCUCCAGUCCUCCAUUCCAUUCCCUAAUUUGUGUGCAAUGGCAUUUAACAUUUUGACUUUGCUUAAAAUAAAAUGUGUGUUUGUUUUAAAAUAAA
rnacentral:lncRNA from 1 species